rnacentral:rRNA from 1 species
UACGAGGGGUGCAAACGUUGCUCGGAACCAUUGGGCGUAAAGCGCACGUAGGCGGCUUGCCAAGUCGGACGUGAAAUCCCUCAGCUCAACUGAGGACGUGCAUCCGAAACUGGCGAGCUUGAGUACUGAAGAGGAUCGCGGAAUUCCCGGUGUAGAGGUGAAAUUCGUAGAUAUCGGGAGGAACACCAGUGGCGAAGGCGGCGAUCUGGGCAGAUACUGACGCUGAGGUGCGAAAGCGUGGGGAGCAAACAGG